GAAUAUUGGGCAAUGGAGGCGACUCUGACCCAGCCAUGCCGCGUGCAGGAAGACUGCCCUAUGGGUUGUAAACUGCUUUUAUACAGGAAGAAACACUGGUAUGUNUACCAGCUUGACGGUACUGUAAGAAUAAGGACCGGCUAACUCCGUGCCAGCAGCCGCGGUAAUACGGAGGGUCCGAGCGUUAUCCGGAAUCAUUGGGUUUAAAGGGUCCGCAGGCGGUCAAUUAAGUCAGAGGUGAAAUCCCAUAGCUCAACUAUGGAACUGCCUUUGAUANUGNUUGACUUGAGUUAUACGGAAGUAGAUAGAAUGUGUAGUGUAGCGGUGAAAUGCAUAGAUAUUACACAGAAUACCGAUUGNGAAGGCAGUNUACUANGUAUAUACUGACGNUCAUGGACGAAAGCGUGGGGAGCGAACAGGAUUAGAUACCNUGGUNGUCCACGCCGUAAACGAUGGNUANUANUUGUUGGGCAUUAGCUCAGUGACUNAGCGAAAGUGAUA
rnacentral:rRNA from 1 species